GAUGAACGCUGGCUACAGGCUUAACACAUGCAAGUCGAGGGGAAACGACGGGGAAGCUUGCUUCCCCGGGCGUCGACCGGCGCACGGGUGAGUAACGCGUAUCCAACCUGCCUCUGACUGAGGGAUAACCCGUCGAAAGUCGGCCUAAUACCUCAUGGUAUCGUCUGCGGGCAUCCAACGACGAUUAAAGAUUUCAUCGGUCAGGGAUGGGGAUGCGUCUGAUUAGCUUGUUGGCGGGGUAACGGCCCACCAAGGCUACGAUCAGUAGGGGUUCUGAGAGGAAGGUCCCCCACAUUGGAACUGAGACACGGUCCAAACUCCUACGGGAGGCAGCAGUGAGGAAUAUUGGUCAAUGGGCGAGAGCCUGAACCAGCCAAGUAGCGUGCAAGAAGACGGCCCUAUGGGUUGUAAACUGCUUUUAUGCGGGGAUAAAGUGAGGGACGGGUCCCUCAUUGCAGGUACCGCAUGAAUAAGGACCGGCUAAUUCCGUG
rnacentral:rRNA from 1 species